rnacentral:rRNA from 1 species
GACGGAAGGUGCAAGCGUUGCUCGGAAUCACUGGGCGUAAAGGGUGCGUAGGCGGCUUCUUAAGUCUGGUGUGAAAGCCCAGGGCUCAGCUCUGGAAGUGCACUAGAAACUGGGGAGCUUGAGUACCGGAGGGGAGAGUGGAAUUCCUGGUGUAGCGGUGAAAUGCGUAGAUAUCAGGAGGAAUACCGGUGGCGAAAGCGACUCUCUGGACGGUUACUGACGCUGAGGCACGAAAGCGUGGGGAGCAAACAGG